GGAAGGAGAAGUCGUAACAAGGUUUCCGUAGGUGAACCUGCGGAAGGAUCAUUGUCGAAAGCUUGCCCCGCAAACCGACCCGCGAACACGUUAGUUAACAACACCGCCGGGGGGUGAGGGUGCCAUCGCGCCCCGAGCCCCCUCGGCACCCGCGGGUGCGCGGCCGGGCCUCGCCACGCCUUCGUGGCGGGCGGGAUGCUCGGUCACGUCGCUCGCGGCCUAACAACGAACCCCCGGCGCGAGUCGCGCCAAGGAAUCGGAAAAUACGAUGAAAAGAGCACGUCCCGCUGCCAGCCGGCCCCGUUCGCGGUGUCCGCGCGGGCAGCGACGUGACUCCCGUGUCGCGAAAGAGAUAAAACACGAAAUGACUCUCGGCAACGGAUAUCUCGGCUCUCGCAUCGAUGAAGAACGUAGCGAAAUGCGAUACUUGGUGUGAAUUGCAGAAUCCCGUGAACCAUCGAGUCUUUGAACGCAAGUUGCGCCCGAGGCCAUUAGGCCGAGGGCACGUCUGCCUGGGUGUCACGCAUCGUCGCCCCCUCCAAUCCGUCGGCCCCCCGGGGUGCGGAUGAGGCGGGGGCGGAAAAUGGCCUCCCGUGCGCUCCUCGCUCGCGGUUGGCUUAAAAUCGAGUCCUCGGCAACGGCAGAGCGCCGCGACGAUCGGUGGUGACGCCUCGAGCGCGCCUCGUCCCUCGGUCGCGUGCGCUUUCGUUGCCCCGGACCCAUCGAGACCCUGCUAGCGUCGCGCAAGCGUCGCACGCAUCGCGACCCCAGGUCAGGCGGGA
rnacentral:rRNA from 1 species